UACAGAGGUCUCAAGCGUUGUUCGGAUUCAUUGGGCGUAAAGGGUGCGUAGGCGGCGCGGUAAGUCGGGUGUGAAAUCUUGGAGCUUAACUCCGAAACUGCAUUCGAUACUGCCGUGCUUGAGGACUGGAGAGGAGACUGGAAUUUACGGUGUAGCGGUGAAAUGCGUAGAUAUCGUAAGGAAGACCAGUGGCGAAGGCGGGUCUCUGGACAGUUCCUGACGCUGAGGCACGAAGGUCAGGGAAGCAAACGGG
rnacentral:rRNA from 1 species